rnacentral:rRNA from 1 species
GUCGUCAGCUCGUGUCGUGAGAUGUUGGGUUAAGUCCCGCAACGAGCGCAACCCUUAUUGUCAGUUGCCAGCAUUCAGUUGGGCACUCUGGCGAGACUGCCGGUGACAAACCGGAGGAAGGUGGGGAUGACGUCAAGUCAUCAUGCCCCUUAUGACCUGGGCUACACACGUGCUACAAUGGACGAUACAACGAGUCGCGAGACCGCGAGGUUUAGCUAAUCUCUGAAAGUCGUUCUCAGUUCGGAUCGUAGGCUGCAACUCGCCUACGUGAAGUCGGAAUCGCUAGUAAUCGCGGAUCAGCAUGCCGCGGUGAAUACGUUCCCGGGA